AAUAACUGUGCUUCAUUAUACGAUGUAGUGGUGCUGUAAUAGUGGGCAGUCUGGCUUUAAGACAUGUGAUACCUCUCCAGCGAGGCUCCACUGUAACACACGCGCACUAUUAGAGCAUUCUAAAGGAGACGGCGCUCGCGCUCAAUGCUGCUUUUCAAUGGGAGGAGAGAGCGGAGAGGAGACGCAGCUGUCAGUACACAGAGACCGAUCCUCGGCUGUAAGUAAAAGUGAAGAGGCAAAUUAACUCCACAUUACCACCAAGAUCCCCUCCAGAGAGAAAGGGUUCCCACUCUGAGACGGUUUAGAGCUGGAAUGACAACACUGAAAACCUUUUAAAACACCAUCCAGAUUCUGACAGAGGCUCUCAGCUCUGAGAUUUUCAGUCUCUGCGAUUUGCUGGACAGAGAAGCGGUCUGUGCAAGGGACAAGGGGGGACAAAAGAGUUUCCCUUAAUCCCCAGUUUUGCAGAUCUGAUCAGGAACUUGUGGGAAUCCCAGCAGCAGAAUGGAUGGAUUUAAGAUGAUGUGUUAAAGCUAUUGGAUAAGCGUCAGUAGGGUUCCUUCUCUCCUGCUUGGAUUACACAGACGUGCCCUGCCAUGUCCUGGUUGUUGUGGCUGUGGAUUAGCGUGAGCGCCCUGCUGCUGUGCCAGGCCACACUCUAUGACACCAUUCAGCAGCACCACCUGCCCCAGCCCGGCCGAAACACCAUCCAGAUUCUCGAGGGUGGAACGUGUGAGGUCAUCGCCGCUCACAGGUGCUGUAACAAAAACCGUAUCGAAGAACGAUCCCAGACUGUAAAGUGUUCCUGCCUACCCGGAAAGGUGGCUGGUACAACAAGGAACAAGCCAUCUUGUGUUGACGCAUCCAUUGUGAUUGGCAAGUGGUGGUGUGAGAUGGAGCCCUGUCUGGAGGGAGAGGAGUGCAAGACGCUUCCAGACAAUUCCGGCUGGAUGUGUUCCUCGGGGAACAAAAUCAAGACGACGAGGUCCAGCUAGAGUGAAAAGAAGUUGACUGGAUGAUUCCAUUUUUCAACUUUUCAAGAACACCCAGCCAUACUCAUCUUUUUAGUUCUGGAACAAAAUGCAGAGGAGAGGGCAAAAAUUGAGACAGACUGGAAUUCCGACUUCAGAAAGAUUCAUCCUAGGACCUAACAAAGAGCUCUCUUUCAGCCACCCAGCACAAGCCCCUCUAUUAAAUGGACAGAAUCAUUACAGCAGAGACAACUGAGUGGAUUACUUGUUCCUCAGGCUUUCCAAAAAGGGGAUAUCAUUAAACGGCAUCACUUUGCAUGAUGCCAAUGAUUUUCAAACCAGACUAAAUCUUCUUCGCUGGUGACUUUACACUAACUACCGUAUGUCGCAUUUAAAAUGUUAUUGUGCUUUUUCCUUAAAAGAAAACUGCUAUUUAGAGGAUGUACAACAUCAAGAGACGACACCUCAUCCCUCAGCGCAAGCCAAACUGAGGGGGCUCUUCCUCAAACUGAAGACUCAAACAGAAACAUUAUGCCUGUGGGUCAUAUAUGAAGAAUGACUUCAAUCAUUGGAAACAUUUUUAAGUUGUCUGUCAUGUCCGCCUUCUCUAUGACAUCAGCAUGCUGGCUUCAUUUUAAGCCCCAGAGGCUUAACACCACCCAGAACCUCCAGUAUCCCUGUUGCCCUCUGCCUUUGGUCAUAGGAACAACAGGAACCCGGGACAGAACUCUGUGAACGGUCACUGGGUCACCUGGCCAGCUGUUGUGUCCAUUAGCAUAUCUGACAACGAUGUCACUUCAGUAUAUCGGCAGUUAUUUGUUGGCAUGCUCUGUGUAUUUCAUGGGAGCUCUCUUUGUAUUUUAAUUCUCUGUAUAUAUAUAUAUAUAUAUAUAUAUUUAAAGAUGUUUUUGAACUCUCCAUAACACUCGCACAGUGGAAUAGUUGACAUGCAGAUCCAGCCACUGAGUUCCCACUGACAUCAGAAUGGCUGACUGUCAGUCAUGGAACACAUGGAUCUUCGUCAGAGGUUGUGAGUGUAAUGCUUCCCAUAUGUACAGGACCAUCAGCAGUAUUUGCUUGUAUCAAGAAACUCUAAACCAGCCUCUGGAAGAAAAAAAUAAUAAUAAAAAAUUGUCGGUCUUGUUUGCUAUCAAGUGAUGUGUUGGAACACCAGGGACCCCUGUAGUAUCUGUGAAGAUAAAACACUGUACAUUUUAGUUUCACAAGAGGAGCAAAUACAACAGCAUUCAUGUUCUCUCUAUGGUUGUAAAGUGCAGUAGGCUGCAUAGUAAAAGGGCCUCCUCUUAAAGAGUAUGAUUCAGUUCUAUUACUGUUUUUAGUGUCUGUCAUGGGCAGCCAAUGUUGACUCAGUCAUACUUGUUUGUUUGUAGAUUUCACAUGAAAAAAUUCAGGAGCAGGAAGAAGACGGUGAGAAAAAAUGGUAUUGAUAAAUAAGUAAAUAAAAAAUAUCCAACAUUAACAGACAACCCCCCACUAGACAUACAGCCUUAUCAGAAUUAAAAGCAUUUUGUACACAA